rnacentral:rRNA from 1 species
UACGGAAGGCAGCAGCGGGGAAUAUUGCACAAUGGGCGAAAGCCUGAUGCAGCUAUGCCGCGUGUAUGAAGAAGGCCUUAGGGUUGUAAAGUACUUUCAUCGGGGAGGAAAAACAAAACUAAUAAUUUUAUUUCUUGACGUUACCCGAAAAAGAAGCACCGGCUAACUCCGUGCCAGCAGCCGCGGUAAUACGGAGGGUGCUAGCGUUAAUCAGAAUUACUGGGCGUAAAGAGCACGUAGGUGGUUUUUUUAAGUCAGAUGUGAAAUCCCUGGGCUUAACCUAGGAACUGCAUUUUGAAACUGAAAUACUAGAGUAUCGUAGAGGGAGGUAGAAUUCUAGGUGUAGCGGUGAAAUGCGUAGAUAUCUGGAGGAAUACCUGUGGCGAAAGCGGCCUCCUAAACGAAUACUGACACUGAGGUGCGAAAGCGUGGGGAGCGAAACAGGGAUUAGAUACC